rnacentral:ncRNA from 2 species
CUAUCCUGAAGCGGUCGAGGUUCUUCGCGUCGCCCCGUGCGCCGCGAAGCUAAGACGGGAAGCCGGUGGAAAGCCGGCGCUGCCCCCGCAACUGUAAGCGGUGAGCGGCGGUCGAAAAGCGUCACUGGUCCGCAAGGGGCCGGGAAGGCCAGGCCGCCGCGGCGAUCCGCGAGCCAGGAGACCUGCCUCGUCAGAUACGUCCUC